AUUGAACGCUGGCGGCAGGCCUAACACAUGCAAGUCGAGCGGAUGAAGGGAGCUUGCUCCUGGAUUCAGCGGCGGACGGGUGAGUAAUGCCUAGGAAUCUGCCUGGUAGUGGGGGAUAACGUCCGGAAACGGGCGCUAAUACCGCAUACGUCCUGAGGGAGAAAGUGGGGGAUCUUCGGACCUCACGCUAUCAGAUGAGCCUAGGUCGGAUUAGCUAGUUGGUGGGGUAAAGGCCUACCAAGGCGACGAUCCGUAACUGGUCUGAGAGGAUGAUCAGUCACACUGGAACUGAGACACGGUCCAGACUCCUACGGGAGGCAGCAGUGGGGAAUAUUGGACAAUGGGCGAAAGCCUGAUCCAGCCAUGCCGCGUGUGUGAAGAAGGUCUUCGGAUUGUAAAGCACUUUAAGUUGGGAGGUAGGGCAGUAAGUUAAUACCUUGCUGUUUUGACGUUACCAACAGAAUAAGCACCGGCUAACUUCGUG
rnacentral:rRNA from 1 species